rnacentral:rRNA from 1 species
GACGAACCGUGCGAACGUUAUCCGGAAUCACUGGGCGUAAAGCGUGCGUAGGUGGACUUUUAAGUGCAAUGCGAAAUCCUGUGGCUCAACCAUAUGGACUGUAUUGCAUACUGGAAGUCUGGAGGACAUGAGAGGCAAGUGGAAUUACCGGUGUAGCAGUGAAAUGCGUAGAUAUCGGUAGGAACACCAAUGGCGAAGGCAGCUUGCUGGCAUGUUUCUGACGCUAAGGCACGAAAGCGUGGGGAGCGAACAGG